rnacentral:rRNA from 1 species
AGUCCCGCAACGAGCGCAACCCUUUUCCUUAUUUGCCAGCGGGUUAAGCCGGGAACUUUAAGGAUACUGCCAGUGACAAAUUGGAGGAAGGCGGGGACGACGUCAAGUCAUCAUGGCCCUUACGACCAGGGCUACACACGUGCUACAAUGGUCGGUACAAAGGGUUGCUACCUCGCGAGAGGAUGCUAAUCUCAAAAAGCCGAUCGUAGUCCGGAUUGGAGUCUGCAACUCGACUCCAUGAAGUCGGAAUCGCUAGUAAUCGCGGAUCAGAAUGCCGCGGUGAAUACGUUCCCGGGCCUU